CCUACGGGCGGCAGCAGUCGAGAAUCAUUCACAAUGGGGGAAACCCUGAUGGUGCGACGCCGCGUGGGGGAAUGAAGGUCUUCGGAUUGUAAACCCCUGUUAUGUGGGAGCAAAUUAAAAAGAUAGUACCACAAGAGGAAGAGACGGCUAACUGUGUGCCAGCAGCCGCGGUAAUACAGGGGUCUCAAGCGUUGUUCGUAAUCACUGGGCGUAAAGCGUGUGGAGGCUGUUUCGUAAGUCGUGUGUGAAAGGCGCGGGCUCAACCCGCGGACGGCACAUUAUAGUGCGAGUAUAGAGUAGUGGAGGUGGAACCGGAAUUCUGUGUGUCGCAGUGA
rnacentral:rRNA from 1 species